rnacentral:rRNA from 1 species
GACGAACGCUGGCGGCGUGCUUAACACAUGCAAGUCGAACGGAAAGGCCCUGCUUUUGUGGGGUGCUCGAGUGGCGAACGGGUGAGUAACACGUGAGUAACCUGCCCUUGACUUUGGGGUAACUUCAGGAGACUGGGGCUAAUACCGGAUAGGAGCUCCUGCUGCAUGGUGGGGGUUGGAAAGUUUCGGCGGUGGGGGAUGGACUCGCGGCUUAUCCGCUUGUUGGUGGGGUAGUGGCUUACCAAGCCUUUGACGGGUAGCCGGCCUGGGAGGUUGACCGGCGACAUGGGUACUGAGAUAGGGACCAGACGCGUAUGGUAGGCAGCAGUGGGGAACAUUGCACAAUGGGCGGACGCCUGAUGCAGCAACGCCGCGUGCGGGAUGACGUCUUUCGGGGGGUAAACCGCUUUCGCCUGUGACGAAGCGUGAGUGACGGUAAUGGGUAAAGAAGCACCGGCUAACUACGUG